GGUUGUAGCUUGGUGGUAGAGCACUCGCCUAGCACAUGUGAGGCACUGGGUUCGAUUCUCAGCACCA
rnacentral:tRNA from 1 species